GACGAUCGACUCAUGUUGCCUCGGCGGUUUCGCCCGCCAGAGGAUACAUCAAAACUCCUGUUUACGGUGUUGUCUGAGCUACAAGCAACGAAUCAAAACUUUCAACAACGGAUCUCUUGGUUCUGGCAUCGAUGAAGAACGCAGCGAAAUGCGAUAAGUAGUGUGAAUUGCAGAAUUCAGUGAAUCAUCGAAUCUUUGAACGCACAUUGCGCCCCUUGGUAUCCCGAGGGGCAUGCCUGUUCGAGCGUCAUUUCACCACUCAAGCCUGGCUUGGUGUUGGGCGACGUCCCCUUUGGGACGCGCCUCGAAACGCUCGGCGGCGUGGCACCGGCUUUAAGCGUAGCAGAAUCUUUCGCUUUGAAAGUCGAGGCCCCGUUUGCCGGAAGACCUACUCGCAAGGUUGACCUCGGAUCAGGUAGGGAUACCCGCUGAACUUAAGCAUAUCAAUAGGCGGAGG
rnacentral:rRNA from 1 species